UGGGGAAUAUUGGACAAUGGACCAAAAGUCUGAUCCAGCAAUUCUGUGUGCACGAUGACGUUUUUCGGAAUGUAAAGUGCUUUCAGUUGGGAAGAAAAAAAUGACGGUACCAACAGAAGAAGUGACGGCUAAAUACGUGCCAGCAGCCGCGGUAAUACGCAUGUCACAAGCGUUAUCCGGAUUUAUUGGGCGUAAAGCACGUCUAGGUGGUUAUGUAAGUCUGAUGUGAAAAUGCAGGGCUCAACUCUGUAUUGCGUUGGAAACUGCAUGACUAGAGUACUGGAGAGGUAAGCGGAACUACAAGUGUAGAGGUGAAAUUCGUAGAUAUUUGUAGGAAUGCCGAUGGGGAAGCCAGCUUACUGGACAGAUACUGACGCUAAAGCGCGAAAGCGUGGGUAGCAAACAGGAUUAGAUACCCUGGUAGUCCACGCCGUAAACGAUGAUUACUAGGUGUUGGGGGUCGAACCUCAGCGCCCAAGCUAACGCGAUAAGUAAUCCGCCUGGGGAGUACGUACGCAAGUAUG
rnacentral:rRNA from 1 species